GGCGCCCCCCUCAGCCCGGCGCUCGGGUUUCAGCCGCCGCUCCCCCGCGCCCCGCCUGCGCCUGGCCCGCUCGCCGGCGCCGGGAGAGACCUCGUAACGGAACUGGGACGCCAGCGCUGCAUUGUGGGAGCUUUUAAAGCGGCGGGGAGCGCGGCGCGACCCUCGGGCCCACCGGGCCACGCUCGCCCGGCCCAAGACGCAGCCCCGCCGUCGCCUGGCCCGCGGCGCACCGAGGCCUGAGGACCCGAAAGCCGGGCGCGGGGAGAUGACCGGUGGCUCGUGACUCUCCCACGGGUAAAAUCUUCCAUCGCCUGGGGCUGAGACUUGUCAAACUGCCCUCUACGGUCACCCGGAAAGUAGGAGGCUUUUUCCGCAGAGGGAAAAAGAUUUAAAAGAGCCCUUCCAUCCCCCCUCCAAGGACCUUGGUUUGAAUUGCUUUUCAUCUGCAGUGGCUGUGAUUCAGCGUCCCUCUUAGCAGCAGGCAAUGACAGAGGCGGGGGGGGAGGGGGGGUAGAAAAAAAAAGAAAGAAAGAAGGAAAGAAAGAGAAAACAGCAAAUGAAUCAAACGGACGUGAGUAACAAAAGUUUAGAAAGAGCUGGGCUGGGAUUCAGAAAAACGCCUCAUGCCCCCGCCCCGCUACACUCCCAACCCCUUUAAAAAUAGCAGGUAAUCAAGGAAGGAAACGGGUGCUUUCAUAUGGAAAUACAGAUGUGUAUGUUGUUUUGAGUAUUCUACUAUUUUUUGUGUGUGUGAUAUGCAAUUACUCAAGGCACUGGGCAGAAUUCAGCCUUUGGAUUUUGUGGUCACACACACCCCAACCUCGCAACAGCUAUUUAUUCGCAGGGCGAUGGGGUGCGGAUAGUUGAUGACAUACAAGAAAGCACUCCAAUUAAAAUGCCCCCCCCCCCCGCCUUUUAGUUUUCCAGAGACUUGCUUUUUUUUUUCUUUUUUUAAACAUCAUCAAAACAAGAAUAUUAAACUUGAAGCAGAAUUGGUUACGGCAUAUCUGACUCAGGACCUGAUUUAAGGUUUGGGGUUUUUUGGCCGUUUGUUUCUUCCUCUUGUUUUUUGACCUUUAGUUAACUUCACACCUCAUUAGUUCCUUGGCCUGUAGGUGGACUGAGAAGAGAACCAUGAGAGGCUGAGGCAGGAGGAUUGCUCGAGUCAAGGAGUUCAAGAUUACAAUGAGCUAUGGACACGUCGCUGGACUCCAGCCUGGAUGACGGAGUGAGACUGUCUCAAUAAAAAGACAAAAAGGUAAGAGGCCAUCCUAGGAAACAAUCCUGUGAGUGAUAUUCCAUGAAUUAUCUUCAUGAACCGGAACAAGUCACUUUGCCUUCCUGCACCUUCUCUGAGAUGGAAGAAUGAUCUGAAAAUAUGCCUCCCCAGUGAACCUCAGCCCUGGCUGGCAGAUCUGGCUGGCUAAUGGGAGUCCCCUUGUCCUCUCCAUGGCUCCUGUGCCUCCCCUUCAAGACUGUGUGUGUAUUCCAAGAGGACUACCUUCCCAGGUGGGGAUGUAUUGUUCUUAUAAUAAUGUAAAGGCUUACAGAAUUUCCUUGAAUGUUGCAUCUACUUUUAGGGUUCUGAAUCUAUGAAUCACAAAUUAGAAUUGGUGCCUUUGGAAGAGGAGGUGGGACAUGAAGCCCGCUCUAGCUUCUGGUAAUGCCCUAAGGAGCAGCUCAAAAUACAGCUGAAAGAACCCAGAAAACAAAAUAGGUAAGUCUUGAAGAGAGAUCAACAUUAGGAACAUAAUAUUCACUGAAUAUAAUUCUGCGGUCUGUUUUAUACUUUAUUCUAUGCAUCCAGUGAGCUCUAUUAGUCACUAAAGCGUUGUAACAAAUAAAUUACAAAACGUUGAUACCCUAAGAAGAAAUAGCCUCAUGCCACUUGUUGCCCUUUGGCGCCCUUUGGCUCUCAAAACUGGAAAGUCCACAUACUUAUAGUGGUUAUGAUAGUUUAUCAAACUGAAGAAAAAAAGCCUGAAAAACACUCCAGUAAUUCCAGACACAAGCAGAUAAUCUAUUCAGUCCUGUGUAGUUUCAGAGAGUAAAUGAAGAAAAGGAAUUUUUUUUCUUCUCCUCAGGGCAGAGAUGUUUUUCAGUUCUUCUUCUUUUUUUUUUUUUUUUUUUUUUUUAUUUUAGCACUUGAUAUUCCCUUGGGAAGUGUUGGUUACAACAAAACACUAUUUAUUAGAAUCCCAGUAUCUGAAAUUAAUCAAAGAUAGAUUAGCAUGCCAGUCUCCCCUUUCCUCUUUUGUAAUAAAAGAGCAAUAGUCAUUUUACUAUUGCUAAAUGUCAUUUACAUUUAGUCAUUUACUAAAAACUGUAAAAAUUUUCUUAAUAUAAGCAUAAAGUUACAUAAGCCGAAGAGAAGAUGUACCGGAAGGUAAAUAGGCAUGGCAGAGGUUUGAAAGGCUGUUAGGCACUAGAUUAUAAUCCUUCUCGGGUAUGGACAACAUCUGGGUGUUAUUUUUUCUCUCAUAGCCAGUUCAGUACUCACUGUGCACGAGAAGUGCUUGAGUGAGUCUUUGUUAGAUAAAUGAAAAGCAAAGUAAUCCACUUUUCAGAGCUCUCUUCAGAGACCUGAGCCUGAACAAGACAAUUCUCUAAAGGACAGAAUAUUUGGGAAUUAAAAAUAGGACAUUAUAAGAUGCCGUUUGUUACUUUUUAAAUCCCGUUUUCAUCCUGGCUACACUAACUCUACCCUCAAGGGCAGGAAAACAGAGGACCAGAGAUGGCUCCAGGCAAGUCGUGAGUUGUGUGUCAUCAGCAUCUAUCUAUAGUGGUGAUUCUGGUGCUGACAUGCGGUGGUUUAUUUAAUCUAUUUGGGCCCCAGCAUCUGCAUGUGUAAAAGGGAAUGAUGAUAAUGAGUAUUUUCCAAAAUAUGUGGUUGAAGGAUUAACUGUAUUUGAGAUAGAGUAGGCAGGCCUCAGUUCGUGUCCGCUAUUAGCCUUAGUCUGUCUACAGGAACCAGAAGUUUCAGAUUGGGAGAAGCCUGGUCUUUUCGUGAGAUGCUUUCUUGUGGCGGGACAAGGAGUUGGUGUGAGACCUGAAACCCAGCCUCUCAGGAGCAGAAAAAGAGGGGACUGGAUGUUCUGCUGGUGAUUCUGAGAUGAGUGUUAACAUCAGAUGUGGUUGUUAGUCUCCAGAUUGGCAAACUGAAAUGUUUCCUUCAUGCAUUUCUUUGUUUUUCGUUUUGGUUUUGGUUCUUUCUGCUGAUAAAUAUUCUUACUCAGAGGUUAUUACUGCAAAUAAUAAAGAAAAAUACUGGUAAACCAGGCCUCUGAUGUGUUAUUGUUAAAAAACAAAAUCAAUGUUUUAUUCACAGUCUGAGUAGAGACUUGGCUUGAUUGUUCUGAAAGAAUUCUGUGUGGCAGGACAGGGGCUGAGCAAAAGAGUAGUGUUCAAAGGAUUUAUUGGUGUUGACUGUGAGUGUCUGUUUGUGUCUGUCUGUAAAGUUGGCUUGGUAGUCAGAACGUAUGGGAAAACCUUCCAAGGGUCAUAUGGCAGCUUUUCAAAAAUUCAGUAGAGCUGGGUACACAAUUUCCGUGGACUCACCCCCAUCUAAGCAGCCUCUAGCAAAGGGACCAGAGCAGCUGUAAGAUACCUGUUCAGGACAGAUUUGUAUAGGCCUGAAGCAGGAUACCGCAUCCCAAGCAACCACAGACUGCCAGGAAAGUUCCCUGUCAUGGCACAACUUAAGCUGAAAAAUCAGCAUCACAGCCUGUUGAGCUGGAAGGGGUCCUAGAGCUGCUACCAUCCAAUCCUUUCAUUCUCUAGUUGAGGAAUCAAAUCUACACAUCUCUAAUGACCUGCCUAAGAUAAUGCAGCGAAUUAGGGUCAGAGUUAAGAUUUGAGACAGAAUACAGAAAUUUUUUUUUAAAGCCUUCUGUACUGACAUUUGUUUUCAUUAAACUUGAUACCACUUCUAUCCUUUGUUUGUCAACUUUUAUCUCUGAGAAAUUAAUGUUGCAAUAAGGUAGAAUCAAAGAAAUUGGUGAGAGAAAUUGUGCUGACAUGUUUGGGGUUGUCUUUGUAUUCUCUGAAACCACAGAAAACAUUUGAUUAAAUAGUUUGCAGUUAAUGUGACAAUUUAUGUUUACUUUCAAAGGGGACUGUCAUUUUCAGAAGUUAAAGAAAUCUUUGUUUCAUAUGUGGGCUUUACAGUCUGGGCUCUUGAUACCCAUGGUGAUGGGUUAUUGUUGCUUGUGCCACUGUUAAACCAAGUACUGCUUUGAAAACAAUUCAAAGCCAUUUUAGAGGAACCCAAAUGUCAGGUCUGUCUGAUUAUAGUACAUGCAAUUGUCAAGCUAGAAAAACGGGCAUCCGUUGGUGAGCUUUGCUGUCCAUGAGCUGUGAGCAGUCAGUCUGGUUCCUAGGGAACAGCCCUCCACUGUAUUUAAGACACAGGUCUCACCCCCAGAUCGAGCUGCUCCGAAUUGCCAUUUUACUCAAGAUCAAGCAUAUCAGAAGUCACAUUGUAAGCAGUAGGGAAACUAUUAAGUUGAACUGAAGUAGAAUAGCUAGAAAGAAGAAAAUACACGUGUACUUGAAAGAUGCAGGGAGGCUGGGCAUGUUCACCGGUAUCCUCCUGUGCAGAGGUAGGAUCUUUUUGUUUGCCCUGGUCUAGUUUAAGAAUCCUCUGCCAAGAAGGUUCUUUUAGUUUGCAUUUUAAGAUGUUAUCCUUGUCAUAAUUUUAAACCAUGAACUUUCCUUGUGCCAAUUAAAGAAAAAUGAAAUAGAGGUCAGCCUCUCCCUGAACUCCUCUCAGCGCGUGAACAUUCUUUCUCUACACAUGGGCAUUUGCACACUGCCUCCCCAGCCCGAGACCCGUACUGCGGCCACUAAUUGAAUUCCUAAUGGUUGGGCCAGGGAAAACUCAGUUCCAAAUUGCUCUCCUCCUUCCCCUAAGAGAUCACACGUGUGUCAGUCUUUGUCCCUUGCCCUAACCCUCAACCUCGUCCUUCCUCUGCCAUCGCUUUCUUUACAUGCACAUGUAGACAUAGAGACUUGCACUUGGAAGCCUUUUCCUCCUUUCUGCUGCCUCCCAGCUCUUUCCUGUUUCCUUAUAGAAUCCUCUCCUCCUACACCUCCAUUCAUUAUUUUCUCCCUCCCAUUUUGUUCCCCAAAUCUACCUGUAACACAAAGCUGAUAAGCAUAUAAAUUUUGCUUGUGAUAAACCUUGAAGGAGGAAAUAGCAAAGUCAUGCAUUUUGGUGUGUGUUCAGAUAAAGAACCACUGCCACAAUGCUUUUGAGAAUUUACUUUAUAUUGAAGCCUUCAUUUCCUACUCCCUGCUCCCCACCAUAUGCUUCUCUAGUUGCACUUAAUUUCGUUAUUAAAAAUGUACUGGCUGGGCACAGUGACUCAUGCCUGUAAUCCCAGCACUUUGGGAGGCCGAGGUGGGAAGUUCACAAGGU